rnacentral:rRNA from 1 species
GUCGAACGGAAAGGCCCUGCUUGCAGGGUACUCGAGUGGCGAACGGGUGAGUAACACGUGGGUGAUCUGCCCUGCACUUCGGGAUAAGCUUGGGAAACUGGGUCUAAUACCGGAUAGGACCGCACUUUAGUGUGUGUGGUGGAAAGUUUUUUCGGUGUAGGAUGAGCUCGCGGCCUAUCAGCUUGUAGGUGGGGUAAUGGCCUACCAAGGCGGCGACGGGUAGCCGGCCUGAGAGGGUGUACGGCCACAUUGGGACUGAGAUACGGCCCAGACUCCUACGGGAGGCAGCAGUGGGGAAUAUUGCACAAUGGGCGCAAGCCUGAUGCAGCGACGCCGCGUGGGGGAUGAAGGCCUUCGGGUUGUAAACUCCUUUCGCUAGGGACGAAGCUUUUUGUGACGGUACCUAGAUAAGAAGCACCGGCUAACUACGUGCCAGCAGCCGCGGUAAUACGUAGGGUGCGAGCGUUGUCCGGAAUUACUGGGCGUAAAGGGCUCGUAGGUGGUUUGUCGCGUCGUCUGUGAAAUUCUGGGGCUUAACUCCGGGCGUGCAGGCGAUACGGGCAUAACUUGAGUGCUGUAGGGGUAACUGGAAUUCCUGGUGUAGCGGUGAAAUGCGCAGAUAUCAGGAGGAACACCGAUGGCGAAGGCAGGUUACUGGGCAGUUACUGAC